CCUACGGGAGGCAGCAGUGGGGAAUAUUGCACAAUGGGGGAAACCCUGAUGCAGCGACGCCGCGUGAGUGAUGAAGUAUUUCGGUAUGUAAAGCUCUAUCAGCAGGGAAGAAAAGGACGGUACGUGACCAAGAAGCCACGGCUAACUACGUGCCAGCAGCCGCGGUAAUACGUAGGGGACAAGCGUUAUGCGGUUUUAUUGGGUUGGAAGGGUGCGUAGGCGGAUUUUUAAGUCAGCGGUAAAGUCGUGGGGCUCAACCGGAUCCAGCCGUUGAAACUGGGGAUCUAGAGUGUGCGAGAGGUAUGCGGAAUGCGUGGUGUAGCGGUGAAAUGCAUAGAUAUCACGCAGAACACCGAUUGCGAAGGCAGCAUACCGGUGCACAACUGACGCUCAGGCACGAAAGCGUGGGUAUCGAACAGGAUUAGAUACCCCAGUAGUC
rnacentral:rRNA from 1 species